ensembl:misc_RNA Metazoa_SRP Metazoan signal recognition particle RNA
GCCAGGUAUGGUGGUGGACACCUGUGAUCUCAGCUACUUAGGAGGCUGAGGUGGGAGGAUUGCUUGAGCCCAGGAUGUCAAGGCUGCAGUGAGUCUUGAUCAUGCCACUUCACUCUAGCCUGGGCAACAGAGCAAGACCCCGUCUCUA